rnacentral:misc_RNA from 1 species
UAGUCAUAACAAUGAACUAGGAUAUCAAGACUAACAAUAACAUU